rnacentral:rRNA from 1 species
CAUCCCCGCUCCUCAUGCACUCAUCGUGUUAUUACCCUUCGCGAGGGGGUGGGUAACCCUGUUACCCCACUCGGGUUGGGGAUUGGGGAUUGCAUUUUUUUCCCAUGAACGAGGAAUUCCUAGUAAGCGCGGAUCAUCAUGCCGCGUUUAUUACCUCCCUGCCCUUUGUACACACAACAA